rnacentral:rRNA from 1 species
CAGUAGCCGCGGGAAUACAGAGGGUGCAAGCGUUAAUCGGAAUUACUGGGCGUAAAGCGCGCGUAGGUGGUUCGUUAAGUUGGAUGUGAAAUCCCCGGGCUCAACCUGGGAACUGCAUCCAAAACUGGCGAGCUAGAGUAGGGCAGAGGGUGGUGGAAUUUCCUGUGUAGCGGUGAAAUGCGUAGAUAUAGGAAGGAACACCAGUGGCGAAGGCGACCACCUGGGCUCAUACUGACACUGAGGUGCGAAAGCGUGGGGAGCAAACAGGAUUAGAUACCCCUGUAGUCCCUGUCUCUUAUAU